rnacentral:hammerhead_ribozyme from 1 species
CCCCAAAUGACGAGUCCGGAAUAGGACGAAACGCCUGUCCUGGAU